AUUGAACGCUGGCGGCGUGCUUUACACAUGCAAGUCGGAGGCAGUGGCGCACGGGUGAGUAAUGUAUAGCUAAUCUGCCCUACACUAGAGGACAACAGUUGGAAACGGCUGCUAAUACCCUAUAGUGUAGGAUGAGGCUAUAUUGUAUCAGCUAGUUGGUGAGGUAAUGGGUUACCAAGGCUAUGACGCAUAACUGGUCUGAGAGGAUGAUCAGUCACACUGGAACUGAGGCACGGUCCAGGCUCCUACGGUAGGCAGCAGUAGAGAAUGUUGCUCAAUUGGGGAAACCCUGAAGCAGCGACGCCGCGUGGAGGAUGGCACUUUUCGGGGCGUAGACUCCUUUUGUUAGGGAAGCGUUAGUAACUGAACGUCCCCUGACGGUAUCUAGCCAGAAAGCCACGGUAACUACGUGCCAGCAGCCGCGGUAAUAC
rnacentral:rRNA from 1 species